GACGUAGGGCGCGAGCGUUGUCCGGAUUUAUUGGGCGUAAAGAGCUCGUAGGCGGCCUGUCGCGUCGGGAGUGAAAGCCCACUGCUUAACGGUGGGUCUGCUUCCGGUACGGGCGGGCUAGAGUAUGGCAGGGGAGACUGGAAUUCCUGGUGUAGCGGUGGAAUGCGCAGAUAUCAGGAGGAACACCGGUGGCGAAGGCGGGUCUCUGGGCCAUUACUGACGCUGAGGAGCGAAAGCGUGGGGAGCGAACAGG
rnacentral:rRNA from 1 species